rnacentral:rRNA from 1 species
AGCGAACGCUGGCGGCAGGCCUAACACAUGCAAGUCGAACGAACCUUUCGGGGUUAGUGGCGGACGGGUGAGUAACACGUGGGAACGUGCCUUUAGGUUCGGAAUAACUCAGGGAAACUUGUGCUAAUACCGAAUGUGCCCUUCGGGGGAAAGAUUUAUCGCCUUUAGAGCGGCCCGCGUCUGAUUAGCUAUUUGGUUGAGGUAAUGGCUCACCAAGGCGACGAUCAGUAGCUGGUCUGAGAGGAUGAUCAGCCACAUUGGGACUGAGACACGGCCCAAAAUCCUACGCGAGGCAGCAGUGGGGAAUCUUGCGCAAUGGGCGAAAGCCUGACGCAGCCAUGACGCGUGAAUGAUGAAGGUAUUAGGAUUGUAAAAUUCUUUCACCGGGGACGAUAAUGACGGUACCCGGAGAAGAAGCCCCGGCUAACUUCGUG